GGCUAGCUUUUAUGGUCUUGAAGGCAGGAACAAUGAGUACAGUCACAGCUAAGAAUGUCAAAGUGUCUAACCCAAGGUCAUUGAUAACAUCAACAGCACUUGCAACAUCAAGUGAUGCAUAUAUCUGAAACCUACACCUCAAAGAUUUUUGGUGUUUUAAGAUACAAACUCCUCUUCCGCUGUACGAAGAUGAAAAAGGUGUACGUUUGCAAACACCAUUUGUUCCCGAAUUUGGAUGGUUUAUCUUGUGAUAUGAAGAAAUAUGAACGGAUUUGUUAUAGGCAUAUGAUAGAUUAGAAUAAUGUGGAUGCAAACAAGAAGCAGAAAAGGUGGACCAGGUAGACCUCGUUUGAGCUCUUACAUUAUAUCCCUGCAAGGUAAACAUAUUAAUUGUCAUUUAUUUGAGUGUAUAUAUGAUCACUAGACAAUCUUAAAGAGAUGCAGAGACUAUAAAAGAAAAGGAGAAAUUCAGAUGAAAGCAGCACUAGGAGAAAGGUAAAUAAGGUUAUAGUGGCAUUUAUGUAUUGCAGAAUUCAACCAUCUGGCUACAAAAUUAGAUGUGCAAAAUAGUAUAGCAUUAUAGGGUAAUAGUAGUAUUUGAAUUUGAAGAUUAUGAUGAAUUUGUAGGAGGAAACCUGAAGAAUACAAUUCAUACCUUGGGAGCAGGAUAGCGAAGGAUGAAGUCACACAUAGUAUUUACUAUGAAACACAGAAAGCAUUGAGCAAUGGGAACAUCAACAACCCUCCCUCACUGUUAAUUUUUUAUAUUGAGAAUAUGAAUGGUGAGCAAAACCCAAAAGGGAAUGAAGAGGGUGAUGAGUGGCCACGCUGAUUGUUGCUGUUGCUGUUUAGAGAGAGAGAGAAAGACAAAAGAGUUUUAGAAGAAGGAUUGAGGAGCUCGGAAGCAAUGAUUCAUGGACCAAAAUGGAUGUUGA
rnacentral:lncRNA from 1 species